rnacentral:rRNA from 1 species
GCUAACUCCGGGCCAGCAGCCGCGGUAAUACGGAGGAUCCAAGCGUUAACCGGAAUCAUUGGGUUUAAAGUGUCCGUAGUCGGCUUAAUAAGUCAGCGGUGAAAGUUUGCAGCUUAACUGUAAAAUUGCCAUUGAUACUGUUAGGCUUGAAUUAUUGUGAAGUAACUAGAAUAUGUAGUGUAGCGGUGAAAUGCUUAGAUAUUACAUGGAAUACCAAUUGCGAAGGCAGGUUACUAACAAUGGAUUGACGCUGAUGGACGAAAGCGUGGGUAGCGAACAGGAUUAGAUACUCCAGUAGUC